UAGGCAGCAAACAACACGAGGAAGCAGGUGU
rnacentral:piRNA from 2 species